rnacentral:rRNA from 1 species
CUAAUACGUGCGAAGCGCCGAGCCGCGAGGCGACGGCGUUCUCGCCGGAUGUAGGAACCGACCCGGGGACCGCCGGGGCAACCCGGCGCCCCCGAGACGGGGCGAACCACGGUGAAAUGACGGAUCGUCGGCCCCGCGCCGGCGACUCGCCGAAUGAGUUUCUGACCUAUCAACUCGAGACGGCGGGGUAGAGGCCCGCCGCGGUAACGACGGGUAACGGGGAAUCAGGGUUCGAUUCCGGAGAGGGAGCCCGAGAAAACGGCUACCACUUCCAAGGAAGGCAGCAGGCGCGCAACUUACCCUAAUCUCGAUUCGAGGAGGUAGUGACAAGAAAUACCGAUGCGGGACCCUACGGGUGCCGCGUUCGGAAUGAGUACGAUUCGAACCACCUAACGAGGAACGAUCGGAGGGCAAGUCUGGUGCCAGCAGCCGCGGUAAUUCCAGC